UACGUAGGGUGCGAGCGUUGUCCGGAAUUACUGGGCGUAAAGAGCUCGUAGGUGGUUUGUCGCGUUGUUCGUGAAAACUCACAGCUUAACUGUGGGCGUGCGGGCGAUACGGGCAGACUGGAGUACUGCAGGGGAGACUGGAAUUCCUGGUGUAGCGGUGAAAUGCGCAGAUAUCAGGAAGAACACCCGUGGCUAAGGCGGCUCUCUAGUACGGUACUGACGCUGAGACGCGAAAGCGUGGGGAGCGAACAGG
rnacentral:rRNA from 1 species